rnacentral:rRNA from 1 species
AUGGGCGACUACGGGAACGCGAUGAUGAGGAACCAGGAUGCGGGCGUGCAGUCUCGCGUGAAGGCGCAGAGCCGUGCCAACCUCCUCCAGCUCAAGCUCAUCGGGCAGAGCCAUCCGACGGGGCUGACGACGAACCUGCUGAAGCUGUUCGAGCCACGCCCCCCGCUCGAGCACAAGCCGCCGCUCGAGAAGCGCAAGUUGCCGGCUUACUCUGGGAUGUCGCAGUUUGUAUCGCGGUUCGCAGAGCCUGGUGACCCCGAGUAUGCUCCGCCCGUCCCCACGUGCGAGACUAGGGCUGAAAAGAAGGAUAGAAUUCGUCAACUUAAGCUUGAGGAAGGUGCAGCUAAGGUUGCUGAAGAGCUCCAGAAGUACGACCCACAAAAUGACCCCAAUGUCACUGGAGAUCCAUACAAAACACUCUUUGUUGCACGACUUGGCUACGAGACAUCCGAGCAGAAGGUUAAAAGGGACUUUGAAGCUUAUGGGCCUAUUAAAAGGGUACGGCUCAUAACUGACAAGGUAACAAAUAAACCUAGAGGAUAUGCAUUCGUAGAGUAUGCACACACUCGGGACAUGAAAAGUGCUUAUAAGCAAGCUGAUGGGAGAAAAGUGGAUAACAAAAGGGUGCUUGUUGAUGUAGAGCGUGGUAGAACUGUUCCAAAUUGGCGUCCUAGGAGAUUGGGUGGUGGACUUGGAUCAAGCAGGAUUGGUGGUGAAGAUGCUGCCCAGAAGCAUUCUGCUAGAGAGCAACAGAAUGCUGCUGGACGACCCAGAUCAGAAGAGCCUAGGAGGGAUGAUCGUCCUGCAGAUCGGGAUCGUGAGAAAUCUCGUGAUAGGGUACGGGAAAGAGAUCGUGACGAAAAAACUCGUGAACGCUCGCAUGACAGGACCCGUGAUCGUGAUCCAAGGGAAGAUAGACACCACCAUAGAGAUCGUGAGAGAACUCGUGAUAGGGACCGAGAACGGGACCAGGAGAGAGACCGUGGGCGUGACCGGCGUGAUAGGGAUAGGCACAAGGAUCAUGGCCGGGAUAGAGACCAGGAUAGAGACAGGAAACGUGAGCGCUCUCAUGGCAGGGGCAGAGACCGUGACAGAGAUUACGAGCGUGCAAGUCAUGAACAGGACCCUGGCAGGGACCGAGAUUACAAGCGUGCGCGCCAUGAACAUGAUCGUGGUCACUUGCAGGAGAGUGAUGCUGAUUAUGGCAAUGGUGAGCUUGGCUAUAACCAGCAUGAGCACCACAGAAGUCACGAACAGUAUGGUUAUGGCCUAGAUGGACAUGAGCGCUCAAAGCGACAUGAGCAUUACCGGGAUGAUCCACACAGUAAAAUGGCAACCAACCAUCAGGGGCAACCUGAAAAUGCAGAACCUGCAGUCCCCGAGGAAGGGGAGGCAUAUGAAGAAGGGGACUACCAGCAUAUCCAAGCGAGUGAAUACAGGAACUAA